UUUUUAUCGUUGCUAUGACGGUUGCCAUGCCACCACGGCGCAGCGUGGUGUUUAAAUCACAGUCCCUGCGUGGUGUCCUUCAGUGAUCGUGAAUGUUAUUCAUGUUAUAUAAUAGUAAUAUUUGAGGCUAGAUUACAUCUCUAAUGAGAAGGAACCUGCGAGUCUGUUUAUACCGAGGCCGGCCCGAGUGCGCGACCGGACCGAGUGCGCGAGCGGACAUGACGUGUGGCUGUCGUAAAAACCCUAUUUGUAACAAACCAGUCCUUUAACUCAGCGCUACGUCAUAAACACGGCGCGCUUGGAAGACCACGAUGUCAUCUUCCUUCUGUCAGGUAAGUAGUUUAUUGUUUUUAAAGAUCGUUACGAUCUAGGUUUACAGUCCGAGUGCGGAGAGAGUCCGUCAAUCCACACUAUGGACGCUGUUCAUCAGCUAAUACGCCAUUGUUAGCCACAUGCUACAGCCCACAUUAGCCUGUGCUACCUGGGAGGUGAAUACAUGGUUGUUGAAAGCAGUUCAAGACGCUUAGCUCAUCAUUGAGGGACGCUACAAUAUAAAUAUAAACAUGAAUUUGAUUUAUGAAUGCUUUAGAUUAAUAAGGAGUGUAUUUCUCUACUAUUACUCCACAAUAUCAGGUCAAUUUGGUUUAAUGUAUAGUAUGCACUAUGACAAUAAUGUUUCCAUGUUAUGGAGUUGCGAUUCAUUUUAUAAAACAAUUGCUAUGUUCUGUUUUUUAAUCAAGGAGGAUCCCAGUGAAGCUACAGGAGUUUCAUUAACGUCAAUAACUUGGACCGAACAGUUUGUUUUGCUUGAUGAAGAGCAGGAAGGGCAGCCUGGAGAGAAAGAGAAGCCGGGUUGAGCCCACUACCAUCAUCCACGUACCAUGAGGAAGAUGAGGGAGAGAAAUGAUCCUACCAUUAAAGAGACUGUGAAAAGAACGUUGAGAACAUCACCACUCUACAGGAAGACACAGUCCAGUAAUGGGUGUCAGAAUUUCAGUAGUGAACGACAGGAAGGACUGAUGCAUUUACUGAGACGGGACGUGAGGGCCUACUCUGCGUGCUCAGAGUUCAAGCCCAGCAGGCUGCAGCGGUCCUGACAUAUUCCGGAACAGCAGCACAGUCUUUGGAUGACUCCUCUGAAG